rnacentral:rRNA from 2 species
ACGAGUUCCCGUUGAUUGACGUGCUUGCACUGAUUUCAACAUUGGAACGAGUGGCGAACUGGUGAGUAACACGUGGAAAACCUGCCCAGAAGCAGGGGAUAACACUUGGAAACAGGUGCUAAUACCGUAUAACAACAAAAACCGCAUGGUUUUUGUUUGAAAGGUGGCUUCGGCUAUCACUUCUGGAUGGUUCCGCGGCGCAUUAGCUUGUUGGUGGGGUAACGGCUCACCAAGGCGAUGAUGCGUAGCCGACCUGAGAGGGUAAUCGGCCACAUUGGGACUGAGACACGGCCCAGACUCCUACGGGAGGCAGCAGUAGGGAAUCUUCCACAAUGGACGCAAGUCUGAUGGAGCAAUGCCGCGUGAGUGAAGAAGGGUUUCGGCUCGUAAAACUCUGUUGUUGAAGAAGAACGGGUGUCAGAGUAACUGUUGACAUCGUGACGGUAUUCAACCAGAAAGCCACGGCUAACUACGUGCCAGCAGCCGCGGUAAUACGUAGGUGGCAAGCGUUGUCCGGAUUUAUUGGGCGUAAAGCGAGCGCAGGCGGUUUCUUAAGUCUGAUGUGAAAGCCUUCGGCUUAACCGAAGAAGUGCAUCGGAAACUGGGGAACUUGAGUGCAGAAGAGGACAGUGGAACUCCAGGUGUAGCGGUGGAAUGCGUAGAUAUAUGGAAGAACACCAGUGGCGAAGGCGGCUGUCUAGUCUGCAACUGACGCUGAGGCUCGAAAGCAUGGGUAGCGAACAGGAUUAGAUACCCUGGUAGUCCAUGCCGUAAACGAUGAGUGCUAGGUGUUUGAAGGGUUUCCGCCCUUCAGUGCCGCAGCUAACGCAUUAAGCACUCCGCCUGGGGAGUACGACCGCAAGGUUGAAACUCAAAGGAAUUGACGGGGGCCCGCACAAGCGGUGGAGCAUGUGGUUUAAUUCGAAGCUACGCGAAGAACCUUACCAGGUCUUGACAUCUUCUGCCAAUCUUA